CCUGGCUGUGCCAGGAAAAAAGUGCUUUGGACACCUUAACAUUUAUAAAUCUCUACGCAAUGCCAGGAGAAGAGCCCUGGCCUGGCAGAGAAAACCUAAAAUUUGAACUGGCUAACAACAAACUUGCUGUGUGAUCUGAGGCAAGCCAUUAAACCUCUCUGGCCUUCAAUUUCUUCCUCAGUAGAAGGAAGGAGUUAGGUAAGCAAAAAAUUCCACACCAGUAGGUCAAUGCUAAAGAGAGCAAUGAGGAAGGGGUUGUGGUCAGAGGAAGGUGGCCUGGCUGACCACCCAGAGACUGCUCCAAGGCUGGUAUCACCUUGGUGAAUGACCCUAAUUUGGGGCUUGUUUUUGGCCUUUUAGGUCCAGAAAUAGGACUUCAUAGUACCAGAGAGGUGCAGACAUUCUAUGAUGGUCUAUUCUAACCAUUUAUCAACCCCACUGUCCAUUUAUGAAUUGACACUUGAAAUCAGAAUGCCCACAUCCCCUAUUACAGGUGGUACCUCCAGACUCUUCUUGUUAUCAAGAGUCCCAGGGAGCUGAAUUAGGCCUUAGAAGGUUGUUCUGUGAGCAUGGACUUAAAAAGGGAAAUAAGUGGCCAUGGAGAGAAAUUUCAUUCCAGCAGUGGUGAGCCAGCCAAACCAGCCCUGCCUACAACAAAGAACCCCCUUCUAGCGACUAAAUCCAGAUUCAGUAUCUUUAUCUGGACACACUAUUAGUUUUGCCUCACUGACUUUUCACUUUCCGUUUCACUGCUGGCCACUCAUUAUUAUAUUGGUUUUUAAACUAAUUUCUUUUGUUGAAAAAAGAUU